rnacentral:rRNA from 1 species
GGGGGGCCUAUACUGCAAGUCGAACGCACUCUCGUUAGAUUGAAGAAGCUUGCUUCUGAUUGAUAACAUUUGAGUGAGUGGCGGACGGGUGAGUAACACGUGGGUAACCUGCCCUAAAGUGGGGGAUAACAUUUGGAAACAGAUGCUAAUACCGCAUAAAACCUAGCACCGCAUGGUGCAAGGUUGAAAGAUGGUUUCGGCUAUCACUUUAGGAUGGACCCGCGGUGCAUUAGUUAGUUGGUGAGGUAAAGGCUCACCAAGACCGUGAUGCAUAGCCGACCUGAGAGGGUAAUCGGCCACACUGGGACUGAGACACGGCCCAGACUCCUACGGGAGGCAGCAGUAGGGAAUCUUCCACAAUGGACGAAAGUCUGAUGGAGCAACGCCGCGUGAGUGAAGAAGGUUUUCGGAUCGUAAAACUCUGUUGUUGGAGAAGAACGUAUUUGAUAGUAACUGAUCAGGUAGUGACGGUAUCCAACCAGAAAGCCACGGCUAACUACGUGCCAGCAGCCGCGGUAAUACGUAGGUGGCAAGCGUUGUCCGGAUUUAUUGGGCGUAAAGCGAGCGCAGGCGGUUUCUUAAGUCUGAUGUGAAAGCCUUCGGCUCAACCGAAGAAGUGCAUCGGAAACUGGGAAACUUGAGUGCAGAAGAGGACAGUGGAACUCCAUGUGUAGCGGUGAAAUGCGUAGAUAUAUGGAAGAACACCAGUGGCGAAGGCGGCUGUCUGGUCUGUAACUGACGCUGAGGCUCGAAAGCAUGGGUAGCAAACAGGAUUAGAUACCCUGGUAGUCCAUGCCGUAAACGAUGAGUGCUAGGUGUUGGAGGGUUUCCGCCCUUCAGUGCCGCAGCUAACGCAUUAAGCACUCCGCCUGGGGAGUACGACCGCAAGGUUGAAACUCAAAGGAAUUGACGGGGGCCCGCACAAGCGGUGGAGCAGGUGGUUUAAUUCGAAGCAACGCGAAGAACCUUACCAGGUCUUGACUUCCUUUGACCACUCUAGAAAUAGAGCUUUCCCUUCGGGGACAAAGUGACAGGUGGUGCAUGGUUGUCGUCAGCCCCGG